ensembl:lncRNA
CGGCGUUGGAGCUGUCAAAUCAGUGAGCAGCUGCUCUUGAUCAUUGUCACAAAGCUACACCAUCCCACUCGUGUUAGAAGUUCAGAACGAGAAAGUGUAGGCUAUUUAGAAAUAAUGACGCACAAAUUGAAAGGCAUUCAAUGAAAUUAGGAUUUCUAUCAGCCUAAUUGAGGUGUAUAGGUGGUGAGCCGUAGCAAGCUAUCUGCAUGAGUUUUCGAGAUGAUAGAUCUCUGAGAAGCUGUUUUUUUGUUGCUUGUUUAAAAAAAUAUAUAUAUUGUGUAUUUUUACUUCUUCUGAAAACAUUUACGUUUCUUGGCAAUGUCAAUUCUUGCAAAUUUUCACAAAAUACUGACUUUCAUGUCCGCUAGCUGGACAGGCAAACGCCGCGGAGAACUAAACUGUAAACCAAUUAAAACGUGUGUACUAUUCAUGGUACGAUCUACAAUCACGUUAUCCGUAACUAAUGUAGAGACAGCUGGUAAUGAAGAGUUCGACAGAGAUCUCCGUCUGACACUGCUAUCAGAUUGACAUGAGGAUGUUAGCUUCUUGCUAGCUGAAUACCAGUGCUCUCAGAACCACGUCGUGAAGUUGAUGAUAACAUUACUUGAAGUUGCAGUAUGGGUGAGAUGAGGAUCUACUGUUCCAUGUGGGGUUAGUGCAUCACCUGGACAGUGUGUUUAGGCCUGUCCAGAACCAACCCCUGGUAGACCAACACUAAGGAGACCAAGGCCCAACCAGACACUGCUAGAGAGGGUCUGUGCCCAGUCUCACUCUGUCUGUCUGUCUGCUGCCCCUACCCACCACCAUACAGCCACACAGAGCCACCCACAGUCACACACAGAGCCUGUUUAAAGAGACAGGCCACUGAGACACACUGGAAAAGCCUGGACUCUCACGAUAACUAAGGAGAGAGAGAUGUUCUGUCAUCCAAUGCUGAGCAACCCUUUGGAAGCUUUACGACAAGCACCAAUCCUCCAAAAAUGGUUUUACAAUGGAAUCCAUCCUCUUAUAGUUACACAGUGUUUAUGAUUGUUUACUAUACUGGUAACCUGGGUGACUAUUACAACCAACAAAAGAAAGGAGGAAACAGGUGUAUCCAUGUUCUACUCAGUCCUGAUAUUCUCAGACCAUUGUUUCAUUCAGCGUAGAGAGUAAAACAUGGAAGAGGAGAAAAAGAGGAGUGGAAAGGGAGAAGUAUGGAGGAGGGAGGUGGAGUUAAUAAGAGCUGGCGCUCCUCUGUGAGAUGUUUAAUUCAUGGUGAGGCUGGCCAGUAUAACGUGACUGGCCAGGUAAUGGGGAGGGGAGACAGCUGCUUUCUGAAAUUGAGUAGAAUGUGAGGCUUCAAGGAAUCCUUUGUCUCUUAGAUCAACAAUAGGCACAGCUCUCAAUAUGCAUUCCAUUGUGCUCUUUCUCUCCAGAGAAAUCUAAAAUCAAAAUGUCUCUGUCAUAUGCACAGGAUACAUGUGGUGUACACAGUACAAUGAAAUGCUUAUUUGCAGGCUCACCUGUCAACAAUGCAACUACAGCAAUAAAACCAAAUCAAAUUGUAUUGGUCACAUACACAUGGUUAGCAGAUGUUAUUGUGAGUUUAGCGAAGUGCUUGUGCUUCUUGUUCCGACAGUGCAGUAAUAUCUAACAAGUAAUCUAACAAUUCCACAACAACUAGCUAAUACACACAUCUAAAGGGGUGGAAUAAGAAUAUGCACACACAAGGGUCAAAGACGUAUAAGGUUUUCAAAGUAGCAAAAACAUUAAAACAGCAAUUACAAUUCCCUAAAAGGCUUUUAUAUGUUUGUUGGAGUGUCACCUAUGCCCUUCUAUUAGUCAUAUUCAAG